rnacentral:rRNA from 1 species
UAAUGAGGGGAGGAAAAGAAACUAACAAGGAUUUUCUUAGUAGCGGCGAGCGAAAAGAAAAUAGUUCAGCACUAAGUCACUUUGUCUUUAUGAUAAAUGUGAGAUGCAGUGUAUGGAAUGUCAAAUUUCUAGUAUGACAAGUUAACGAUUUAAGUCCUUCUUAAAUGAGGCCAUUUACCCAUAGAGGGUGCCAGGCCCGUAUAACGUUAAUGAUUACUAGAUGAUAUUUCCAAAGAGUCCUGUUGCUUGAUAAUGCAGCACCGAGUGGGUGGUAAACUCCAUCUAAAACUAAAUAUAACCAUGAGACCGAUAGUAAACAAAUACCGUGAGGGAAAGUUGAAAAAAACUCUGAAUAGAGAGUUUAAUAGUACGUGAAACUGCUUAAAAGUUUAGCCCGAUGAACCCGAAUAUCCAUUAUGGGAAAUUCAUCAUUAUGAUUAUAGUAUUUAUUUAUUAAAUAAUAUCAUACUGGUGCGCUUUUUUGCCAUAGAGGACUUUGUGAUCUAUUAAUAAAUGAAAAAUAUUUUUCAUAAGAUCAUUAGUGCAUAAGUUUACUCCAAUUAUUUGCCUUGCAAUCUAAAAUGGUGUAAAAUGUAUUUGAUUUGAUAAAGUAUUGAUAGAUUUAUUAAUAUAUAUAGUGCUCAAAAUAUAUGUAUGUAUGUGCAUAUUAUUUUAUAAUGUGUGUGUAUGUAUAUUAUAUUUUUAUAAUGGUCAUAUUAAUCUUAAUUAAUUUUUAUGUAUAAAUUAUAUGCACUUAUAUGAUUAACAAUGCGAAGGAUUCAGGAUACCUUCGGGACCCGUCUUGAAA